rnacentral:rRNA from 1 species
GAUGAACGCUGGCGGCGUGCUUAACACAUGCAAGUCGAACGGAAAGGCCCAAGCUUGCUUGGGUACUCGAGUGGCGAACGGGUGAGUAACACGUGGGUGAUCUGCCCUGCACUUCGGGAUAAGCCUGGGAAACUGGGUCUAAUACCGGAUAGGACCACAUUUUGGAUGGUGUGGUGGAAAGUUUUUCGGUGUGGGAUGAGCUCGCGGCCUAUCAGCUUGUUGGUGGGGUAAUGGCCUACCAAGGCGUCGACGGGUAGCCGGCCUGAGAGGGUGUACGGCCACAUUGGGACUGAGAUACGGCCCAGACUCCUACGGGAGGCAGCAGUGGGGAAUAUUGCACAAUGGGCGCAAGCCUGAUGCAGCGACGCCGCGUGGGGGAUGACGGCCUUCGGGUUGUAAACUCCUUUCGCUAGGGACGAAGCGCAAGUGACGGUACCUGGAGAUGAAGCACCGGCUAACUACGUG